rnacentral:misc_RNA from 1 species
AGUUGUCGCUGGCUUCUUAUGAGGCAUGUGCACACUUUGUUAAUUCAUCCACAUACCUCUGUGCACCCUUCAUAGAUUGGCAAACGGUGGGUUCAUCCUGCUCAGUAGUCUCUCUGUGUAUUCAAUAAACAUAUUUGUAUCAGAAUGUCUAUUUGCGAUAAUCGCAUUGAAAUACAACUUUCAGCAACGGAUCUCUUGGCUCUCGCAUCGAUGAAGAACGCAGCGAAAUGCGAUAAGUAAUGUGAAUUGCAGAAUUCAGUGAAUCAUCGAAUCUUUGAACGCACCUUGCACUCCUUGGUAUUCCGAGGAGUAUGCCUGUUUGAGUGUCAUGUUAUCCUCACUUUUCUCGGAUUUUCUUCUGAGACAGAGUGGAAUUGGAAGCUGCUGGUUGAUAUCAAUCAGCUCUUCUUAAAUGUAUUAGUGUGAAUGUUACCAAUGUUCUCCAGUGUAAUAAUUAUUUGCGCUGCCGGGACACAGGUGAAAUAUAGAUUCAUGCUUCAAACCGUCUGCUACAGACAAUAUACUAUUGCAU